rnacentral:rRNA from 1 species
UUACCGAGUUUACAACUCCCAAACCCCUGUGAACAUACCACUUGUUGCCUCGGCGGAUCAGCCCGCUCCCGGUAAAACGGGACGGCCCGCCAGAGGACCCCUAAACUCUGUUUCUAUAUGUAACUUCUGAGUAAAACCAUAAAUAAAUCAAAACUUUCAACAACGGAUCUCUUGGUUCUGGCAUCGAUGAAGAACGCAGCAAAAUGCGAUAAGUAAUGUGAAUUGCAGAAUUCAGUGAAUCAUCGAAUCUUUGAACGCACAUUGCGCCCGCCAGUAUUCUGGCGGGCAUGCCUGUUCGAGCGUCAUUUCAACCCUCAAGCACAGCUUGGUGUUGGGACUCGCGUUAAUUCGCGUUCCCCAAAUUGAUUGGCGGUCACGUCGAGCUUCCAUAGCGUAGUAGUAAAACCCUCGUUACUGGUAAUCGUCGCGGCCACGCCGUUAAACCCCAACUUCUGAAUGUUGACCUCGGAUCAGGUAGGAAUACCCGCUGAACUUAAGCAUAUCA